AAGAACAAACCUUGCCUUAGUUUCUUUUCCUUAUUAACAGUCACCCCCAUCGUACCCUUCCCCUCUUUUUCUUUUUGGCAAAAAAAGUUUAAUUCCUCUUUCAGCCAUGGACAGAUCUGUCUACACCAUUUUCAUAUAAGUUGAUAUGUUUCUUAUUCCCUCUCUCCUAUUUCGAGCAAAGGGUACAAACUGGCAAAUAAUUAUCAAACCAAAUCUUCACUUGUUCAAGAAUUGUCAAGGCCGAAUCUCUGCAAAUCUGAAUCAAUAAGGAAAUUCGGUCAAUAUUUCUUCAGAAAAUCUGAACCAGAAAGCUACAUUUUUUAUUCCAAAGCCAACCCAUGACAUCUCUUCCUGUUUCCUUUUGAAAUUCAAAUGGCUAAACUUUCCCUUCAAAUCCCACUCAGAAACUGUAGCUAUAACUUGGGGAUGCACCUAUAAAUACCUCUCGAAAGUUUCAGCCGAGAUCGAUCUUGGAAUCCCUCUAAAAAAUAAAGUUUUAGUAUCUAAAAGAAUCUCCAAGCUAAGUUGUUCAUUUGAUAUGACUAUCAUAUCUGGAAGACCUUAGUGUUGUUUAAUCUUUCAAUGUCAGUUCAAUUCGAUUUAGUUAAAAGAGGAAUAGAUCUGAAGCAUCGCAAGCCCCAAGUUCACUGCCCCAUAAAAGGUAAAAUCCGACUUUUUGAUCAUGUUCUUCACUUAAAGGAAUUGUAUUUGCUUAAAAAAAGCAUGUCUUAAGUUUAUGUUUUAUCUGUUAUAGUGGAAUGCGCAUAGAAUAUUUUCUGAUACUGAGGUGAUGUGAAAAAUCCACACUUUAAGUCACGUUUGUAUCCAAAUUGGCUGUGUUAAAACUUUACUCACUAAACCAUGCUAUUUGCUAUUGUAUUCUCGAAUGUUUGAAGAAGUGAUGGUGUUCUAUACAAUAAAAAUAAUGUUCUUUAGAAUUUUAUGUCUGACAAACAUCCUACAUCAAAAUACUUUUGGAUUUUAUUCUUGACUAAUUUUUAUUUCUUUAUUUUUGAGUUUAAACAUUGUAGUAGAAAAGCAUAGUAUAACGAUUCGACCGGUCGUUUUAAACUUUUGCACUUUUAUCGUCAGUUCUCGGGCAUGAUUUGAUAUGUGGUGUAUUAUAACUUAUGUAAAUCGUUGGUUUUGGUUUCAUGUUAAUCAAAAUAAAUUUGAAGGAACAGUUUCAGCUGAAAGCUUGGAAUUUGGAAGGUUUGACCAAUAGUUAACUAAGCAUAUGAGCCCGAAUCGAAAUUUUUAUGAUAUGGUUAGCUUCGUAAGGUGAUUUAUGACUUAGGAUUAUGAUCGGAAUUAAUUUUGGAGGUCCGGUGUGAAAUUUGGCUUGAAUUGAUGAAGUUAGUAUUUUGGCGAAUUUCGGUUGGUAUGUGAGAUUUUGAUCCGAGAGUCGGAAUAGAAUUCCGAGAGUUUCAAUAGCUUAGUUAUGUCAUUUGGGAUGUGUGUGCAAUAUUUCAGAUCAUUCGGACGUUGUUUGGUAGAGUUUUAGAAGAACUUAGGCUUGAUUUGAUGUAAUUUGUUUGGUUUGGUGUUGUUUGAGGUGUUUUGAUGAUUGGAACAAGUUUAAAUGAUGUUUUAGGGUGUGUUGGUACUUUUGGUUGAGGUCCUGGGGAUCUCUGGGUGAUUUCGGGUGGCUAAACGGGAGGAUUUGGACUUUGAGUUAUUGCAAAAAUUGCAGCAGUUGUGUAGGGGUAUUUUGGUCAUCGCGAGCUUGGGGCCGCAAUCACAUAGAAGGAUUUUGGCAGGCUGGAGUUUUGUUCUACGUGUUCGCGAUAAGGGGUCUGUGAUCGCGGAAGGUGAAUUCUUGGUACUUUGCUUUCGCAGUAAGAAGUUCGCGAUCGCGUAAGAGGACCUAGGACCCAUCAUACUUGUCCAUUGCGUUCGCCGCAUUCGCGUAGAUUGAAAAGUCAAGGCAUCACGUUCGCAUCAGAAAGGUCGCGUUUGCAUAGCACAUUUUUGGAGGCUUGGGAAAUUGCUAUUCGAAAUCGCGUGCCUGGGGCCGCGAUUGCAUUGAAUAAAAAUUAGAGUUGGGCAGAAUAGUUUUUAAACAUUUCCUCCACGAGCUUAGUCAUAUUUUCCUCCAUUAUUAGGCAUUUUGAGAGCUGUUUGGGAAAAUUGAAGAGGGUUUCAAAGAAGAUUGAUUGGAGGUAAGUUCUAUAAACCAAAAACUGUUGGAAACACGUUCUCAAGGCAUUAUACUAAACGUGUGUUCAUAUUUGUAGGUUUUGAUGAAUGACAAACUAUGCACAAAUUGACACAUNNN
rnacentral:lncRNA from 1 species